UCUUUUAUUGUCAGGACAGUGAAGGGAAUGACGACACGGACUCCAAGAUAGUCGAGAAAUGGAGACCCUUUAUUGUUCCAAUGCCAGAUCUUAUAUAGUUUUUCUGAGCCCCCUACACGCGCUGCACGUGGCUGGCAAACAUAGUUACAGACUUCUGAUUGGUGCAUUCCUUUUGAUCAUGCGUAGCCCUCUAUAGGCCCGUCCGAGCCUAACAACUCCUUCUUAUUGGUUCCCACUUUCUCUUUUUCUAGCCUGGUUACCACUCUGUGCCUCUGAGUAACCUUCUUCUUAACCCUUAGUGCACCGCUGUAUCAAUCAGCUCCAGUUUGUCACCGAACGGGCCACCUGUAGAUAAGUGGACAGUAGAAGGCCUCACUGUUCCAAAAUAAGGUAGAAG